rnacentral:misc_RNA from 1 species
AAAUACUUCAUUGGACGAACUACAAAAAAGGGUGUCUAGGAUGGUGCAUUCGUCAACAGUUAAAAACAUUCAUAACAAGUUUUUUCAUGCAAAAAAGCAGAAAAAGAACAUUUUCACCACCCACCUACAAAACUAGCUAAAAUGACACCCGAUGAACACCCAAUACGUAAUGAUGUUAUGAGGGCACCCCAACACCAGCUGGGCCAUGACCACCCUGAAUUGCUGAACCAUGAUUUUUAUAAGGGUGUCCACCACCUCCGCCAUCCCUUCCUCGAUUGCUAUAGUAAUUCCUUGGAUAAUAGUGUCCAGACUGGUCAUAAUAUUGGCUGCGACCAUUUUGAUAGCCUCCACCUCCUCUACCACCACUCCGACCGCCACGGCCAUUUGAAUAACCUCUGCG